UCCCUGGUGGUCCAGUGGUUAGGACUCAGUGUUUCACUGCUGUGACCCUGGGUUCAACUCUUAGUUGGGGAA
rnacentral:tRNA from 1 species